GGCUCUGUUCUGUUCCAUCGGCGGCGAAGGGCUCACCCAGCCUCUGCCUCCUCCCCACUUUCCCCCAGCUAUUAUGCUCUCCGCUGUUUACGGCUUGUUCUCUGCACUUUCACACCCCCAGCAUUUGCGAAAGACGGAGCGAAGCCACGGUAUUUCAUUUACUCUAUGUUAACUCCGCUCCCCUGGGUGGUGAGAGAGUGAAAAUUACUUUGUAAGGGAAGACUUGGCCAACAUAGGGGAAAAUAUCACUAAAUGCUGAAUCUGAGAAUCAAAGUGGUGAUGAGAUAACCUUUGCUUUGUUCAUUGUACAGAGUUCUUACUGGUGGAAGGCUGCAGCGCGUAGCUACCGAAGCCUGAUAGAAAUGCACUCUGUGCUGCCAGCACCAAGAACGCUUUGGCGUGAUGAUGCCAGCCCGCCUGCUCUGCGUGCUACAGAUCCCAGCACAACUGCAAGAAGAACAGUAGAAGACUUUGAUCCAUCCGAAUGAAGCUGAAAAGCAGAAAGAGUUUUAUAAAAUGGAUUAAAAUUAGAGAAGGAGUCUGGUUGGCUAUCACGGAUUCCAAGAACCUAUAAGAAGAGGUUUGUACUGAAGUCACAUCAGGUCUGUAAGCCUCUUGCUUUCAGAACCACUUCCAGAACAUAUGAAUGAGUCUGAACUAUGGGAGCUCACCAGGAAAGGCAGCCCUGAGCUCCUGGCAAGGCUGUCUUGUUGGGUUCAAGAGAAAACAUAGCUCCAUGCAGGCUGGUUUAUCUUGCUUCUUUAGUGGAUUUUGCAGUCUGAACUGAGCUUCUUGCCACUGGAGAAGCCAACAAUGGUUUACAAGACAACCAGAUGAAAGGAUUGUGUGCCUUGAAUGCAAGGUGGGCAUGCCAUUGGCUCCUGUUUGAAUAAACACUCAUUAGGUGUUCAAACAUAUUUUUCUGAUCAAAGUCUAAGACACCUAAGAUUUUCUACUUUCCUUCAGAUCUAUAACCUAGCUAAGCACGGUGACAGACAGCAUAAGAGGAUGGAAAAAUGUUGCAGUCUGAAUUCUGCUGUCCAGUUCUGCAGCUUUUAUUUUUUUCUGGCUCACGAAGGCAAUUCUGAUCUCUUUGGCCAAACUUAAGGUAAGCUGCUUAGAGACCAGUCAAGACUGUCAAGACCAGCUCCCUAACGUUUAACUGGGAGAAGU